rnacentral:rRNA from 1 species
UACGAAGGGUGCAAACGUUGCUCGGAAUCAUUGGGCGUAAAGCGCACGUAGGCGGCCUGUUAAGUCGGAUGUGAAAUCCCUCGGCUCAACCGAGGACGUGCAUCCGAAACUGGCGGGCUCGAGUACUGAAGAGGGUCGCAGAAUUCCCGGUGUAGAGGUGAAAUUCGUAGAUAUCGGGAGGAAUACCAGUGGCGAAGGCGGCGACCUGGGCAGAUACUGACGCUGAGGUGCGAAAGCGUGGAGAGCAAACAGG